AAUUUCAUGGUCUUGGAGGCAGCAGCAUAGGACCCGCAACACGGCGCAUUUUAGGAAUUUUGCUAAGCCAAAAAGUGGCAGUGCAGUACAGUUGGCUUGGCAAAAAAGGAAAGAAAAGUUUUUCUGCACUGCAAGUGGCUGACACAAUCACAAGGGCUGUAAUGCAAAAUUUUCCCACAUCAAAAAGAAAUGAUGUCGAGAGUAUAAUAAAGGUGUGGCUGCGCCACUCUGGCGAAAAACUUCGAAAACAGCAGGCCAAGGCUGCCACAUCUGAAAGCUCACUGGAUGUGAACUCGGAUUUCUCUGAUUAAAUGCCUGAAAAUUCAAGAUUUCAAGAGGAGUAAAUUUGCUCAAGAUUUAUUGCUGGCCUUGGCAGGUGCCACCAGUCUAUAAUAAACU
rnacentral:lncRNA from 1 species